AGGACGAACGCUGGCGGCGUGCUUAACACAUGCAAGUCGAGCGGAAAGGCCCUUCGGGGUACUCGAGCGGCGAACGGGUGAGUAACACGUGGGCAACCUGCCCCUAGCUCUGGGAUAACUCCGGGAAACCGGUGCUAAAUACCGGAUAUGACCUCAUUUAGGCAUCCUUUGAGGUGGAAAAGAUUUAUUGGCUAGGGAUGGGCCCGCGGCCUAUCAGCUUGUUGGUGGGGUAAUGGCCUACCAAAGGCGAACGACGGGUA
rnacentral:rRNA from 1 species